CCUACGGGCGGCUGCAGUGAGGAAUAUUGGUCAAUGGACGAGAGUCUGAACCAGCCAAGUAGCGUGAAGGAUGACUGCCCUAUGGGUUGUAAACUUCUUUUAUAUGGGAAUAAAAUGUUCCACGUGUGGGAUUUUGUAUGUACCAUAUGAAUAAGGAUCGGCUAACUCCGUGCCAGCAGCCGCGGUAAUACGGAGGAUCCGAGCGUUAUCCGGAUUUAUUGGGUUUAAAGGGAGCGUAGGUGGAUUGUUAAGUCAGUUGUGAAAGUUUGCGGCUCAACCGUAAAAUUGCAGUUGAAACUGGCAGUCUUGAGUACAGUAGAGGUGGGCGGAAGUCGUGGUGUAGCGGUGAAAUGCUUAGAUAUCACGAAGAACGCCGAUUGCGAAGGCAGUUCACUGGACUGCAACUGACACGGAGGCUCGAAAGUGUGGGUAUCAAACAGGAUUAGAUACCCUGGUAGUC
rnacentral:rRNA from 1 species